GGAGGCCUCAGGAAGGUGACCUGCUUUGCAGAACCCUGCCCGCCAUCGCACCCCACGGUCUUCCAUCUCCCACAGGUCCCCCGCUACCCCCCACCUGGCUCCCGCUGACUCCCCGUCUCUCUGAUUAUGGCUCAUCGGUCUGCAACGUCCUGCCAACCCGCCUCUAAUCUCCAUCCCCUAUCUCGAUCCUUCCUGCAUCCAGAAUGCCUGAGUCCCGCCUCCCGUCCCGUAACCAGGGUGCCGAGGAACACCCGGCCAGGCCCGGAUGGCCCCGAAGUGGGGCAGAGCAGAAGCCAGGGGAGGGGCCCCGGGGGUUGCCAGGGGUCCCGAGCCACCGGGGCUCCAGCCAGGCCAAGCCAGCUGGAAGAAGGGGUCCAGGCGGGAAUGAGGAAGUUAUGCGUUCCCCGCCCGGGAGGGAAACCCCGAAAUCUGAGCAUGAGGCUGAGUCAGGAGGACCCGCAGCCCAAGCUCAUUCCCGUCCCCGCCCGAUUUCCUGGGCCCGGCACCUCCGCGGCGUCCCCUCCCCGGCCCCCUCACCCGGGCAGCCGAGCCGGAGGCAGCGCAGCAGAGUCAGAGCCGGAGCCCACAACCCAGAGGGCCAGGGCGGGGCGGGCGCUCAGGGCCUGCCCUUGGGGGCGGGACGGCCCCCGGCCUCACCUCCUCCGGAUUCUCGUCGGUCCUGUCCCGCCCCCGCCGCCCUCGGCCUGUCCUUGCAGUCCUGCGUGCGGCCUGGGCGCUGGGGCCGCCCUCGGCUCUGCGGGACGGCGCUACCCUCCCCGUGCAUCGGUGCGGCGCCGUCUGCCGGGCUGUCAGUCUGUCCCGCGCCGUCGGUCCGUGCAGGCCCGCUCCUCCCUGUGGGCCCUCGGCCCUGCGCACCCUCCUCCGCUCGGGCGCCGGCCCCCCCGGGGCCUCUCCGGCCACCGAUCCCGCCAGGGCCCCUGGCGGGACGCGCCUCCGCGGCAGGGACCUGGCUGUGUCCCCUUCCCGGGCCGGCUGAGAACCGCAUUGGCAUUUGUAGAUGGAAGGAAUGACGGAAGGCCCGAGGGCUGGUGGCCACAAAUUCAUUAACAUGGAAGAGUGGGCUGAUGGAUAUUUCUUCACGGACAUUUGGGUUGUUUCUAGUUUUUGCCUGCUGCGAAUAAAGCUCCUAUAAACAUUCCUGGGCCUGGAUCCAGCUGUCCCCCCAGAUCCAGAUCCCAGCCCAGCUGUAGCCUCCAUCGUGGCUGAGGGAGGGUCCCUUGGGUCUGGCGCCUACUUCAGCAGGAAAGCCCGUCUCUCCUUCCGCCACCAGCUGCAUGACAUAGCAUCGGCCAACGACUCCACCAUUUGAAGGGGACAACCAAGGGCUGAACUUCCAGGAGGCCUUGGCAACCUUCCUUCCCCCGCCUUCUCAGUCAUCCCAGUGUCCAGCUCCCUCAGAUCCCUCAUGACCUUCUUAUUAAAUACACUGAGAAUUGCCAA